AGGAGAGUGAGCUGGGUGGGAUAUACAAAGUAGAGAAGUGGAAUGAAUUUUUAUUAUCGUUAAAAGGUAUCACUCAAUGUGCAAACCAUUUGGAAUCCCAUUACAAAUUAAUUUAUAGAUGGUACCUAACCCCUUCCAAACUUUUUAACAUGCACCUUAGCGAAAAUAAUAAAUGCUGGAGAGGCUGCGGUCAAAUUGGUAAAUUUCUCCACGUCUUCUAUUCGUCUCCCAAAAUUAAAACUUGAUUAAUAAAGUGAUAACUAUCUGGAGUACUAUAGCUUUCAUAACAUAGAAU